ensembl:lncRNA
GACACACGCACACACAGAGAAAGAGACACACGCACACACACACACAGAGAAAGAGACACACACACUCAUACACACAGAGAAAGAGACACACACACACAGAGAAAGAGACACACACACAGAGAAAGAGACACACACACACACACACAGAGAGAAAGAGACACACACACAGAGAAAGAGACACACACACACAGAGAAAGAGACACACACACCCACACACAGAGAAAGAGACACACACAGAGAAAGAGACACACACACAGAGAAAGAGACACACACACACACACACAGAGAAAGAGACACACAUACACACACACAGAGAAAGAGGCACACACACACACACACACACACACAGAGAGAGAAAGAGACACACACACACACACACACACACACACAGAGAAAGAGACACACACACACACAGAGAGAAAGAGACACACACACACAGAGAAAGAGACACACACACACACACAGAGAAAGAGACACACACACACACACACACAGAGAAAGAGACACACACACACACAGAAAGAGACACACACACACAGAGAAAGAGACACACACACACACACACAGAGAAAGACACACACACACACACACACAGAGAAAGAGACACACACACACACACACACAGAGAAAGAGACACACACACACAGAGAGAAGAGACACACACACACACACACACACAGAGAAAGAGACACACACACACACACACAGAGAAAGAGACACACACACACACACAGAGAAAGAGACACACACACACACACACACACACAGAGAAAGAGACACACACACACAGAGAAAGACACACACACACACACACACACACACACACAGAAAGAGACACACACACACACACACAGAGAAAGAGACACACACACACACAGAGAAAGAGACACACACACACACACACAGAGAAAGAGACACACACACACACAGAGAAAGAGACACACACACAGAGAGAAAGAGGCACACACACACACAGAGAAAGAGACACACACACACAGAGAAAGAGACACACACACAAAGAGAAAGAGAGACACACACACAGAGAGAAAGAGACACACACACACAGAGAGAAAGAGACACACACACACAGAGAAAGAGACACACACACACACAGAGAAAGAGACACACACACACACACAGAGAAAGAGACACACACACACACACAGAGAAAGAGACACACACACACACACACACAGAGAAAGACACACACACACACACACAGAGAAAGAGACACACACACACACACACACAGAGAAAGAGACACACACACACACACACAGAGAAAGAGACACACACACACACACACAGAGAAAGAGACACACACACACACACACAGAGAAAGAGACACACACACACACACACAGAGAAAGAGACACACACACACACACACACACACAGAGAAAGAGACACACACACACACACACACACAGAGAAAGAGACACACACACACACACACACACAGAGAAAGAGACACACACACACACACACACAGAGAAAGAGACACACACACACACACACACACAGAGAAAGAGACACACACACACAGAGAAAGAGACACACACACACAGAGAAAGAGACACACACACACAGAGAAAGAGACACACACACACACACACAGAAAGAGACACACACACACACACAAAGAGACACACACAGAGAAAGAGACACACACACACACACACACAAAGAGACACACACAGAGAAAGAGACACACACACACACACACACACACACACACACACACACAGAGAGAAAGAGACACACACACACACAGAAAGAGACACACACACAGACAGAGAAAGAGACACGCACACACAGAGAAAGAGACACACACACACACACACACACACAGAGAAAGAGACACACACACAGAGAAAGAGACACACACACACACACAGAAAGAGACACACACACACACACACACACACACAGAAAGAGACACACACACACACACAGAAAGAGACACACACACACACACACACACACACACAGGGAAAGAGACACACACACACACACACACACAGGGAAAGAGGCACACACACACACAGAGAGAGAAAGAGGCACACACACACACACAGAGAGAAAGAGGCACACACACACACACAGAGAAAGAGACACACACACACACAGAGAAAGAGACACACACACACACACACACAGAGAAAGAGACACACACACACACACAGAGAAAGAGGCACACACACACACAGAGAAAGAGACACACACACACAGAGAGAAAGAGACACACACACACACACACAGAGAGAAAGAGACACACACACACACACAGAGAAAGAGACACACACACACACAGAGAAAGAGACACACACACACACAGAGAAAGAGACACACACACACAGAGAGAAAGAAUAGCUAGGAAUUCGGUAUCAUUGAACGCGAAGACCGACAACCGCCGAAAACAUCUAUUCUAUAACGACAUGAAUGAAUGUCACUCUGAACUAUCCAUUCUAACCACG